CUUCAGGGCCACUGUGAGCCUCUGCCCUGGGCAGCUUUCACUAUGCAGAGAAAAUUUCUUUUCUGCCUCUCAUAAACCUAUACUUUAACUGCCUUUUCUGCAUGUCUUGUCCAAUUCUUUGUUCAAGACAUCAACAACCUGGAAAGAAACCUUGUAGGACCAGUUGCAGAGCCAGAAAAAGUGCCCACGGGAAUGCAGACACUGUCACUGCUUUGGAGGCUGGAUAUGCAGCCUAAGGAAAUUAGUGCUUAACAAGAGCCGGGCUCUGCUGGCUUUGCAACUCUUGCCUGGAGGCUGUGGCUGCACCAGGGGCCAAAGCAGUCAGAGAGGCGGGCCUGGCAGAGGCUGUGGUCACCUCUAAGAUUGCUGAGCCUCAGAAGUCCUCAAGGCACACACAGUCAGUAAUAGUCUAGGCUCUAAGAGCCAGAGGAAAGGGGGGGGUGUUUGCAUUUUCCUCAUCUCCACAGCUGCCUCCAGCUGAAGGCCCCUGUAAGUAACCUGAGCUUUUUGACUUUUAGGUUCCUUUCUGUUUCCCAGUUAGAAGGCCUUCAGGUCUGUCUGCUGCAGGGCCCUCUGUACUGGGAAGGAGACUGUGGGGCAGGGACUCGACCUUUGGGCUUCCGGCCUGUCAGAUCCUGAGCCCAGAAAACUGCUUUGCAGAGCUAUUGUGCUGGCCCUGGAGAGAGGUGGCCUCUAGAGGAAUGCUGUGUGGCAACUUCCCACACAAUGCUCCUGACUUCACAGUACCCCUUGGCUAGGGAAAGGACCCGAAGCCUGCUUUCAUGAGGCUGUGGAGAACCCUAAGAAGCUGGUGGGACUUCUUACACUCUGAGUCCCUUCUCCAGAGAAUUUGGGAGGAGCAGUGCUUUUCUAAAACUUGCCUUCCUAGAACUCAACCUCCUCCCUUGCCCCCCACCCCCCAGCAAUGUUCCAGAAUCUGGGAACAGGGCACAGAGCAAAAGAAAGAUGCCUAUUUUUGCAGAAUUUAUAUUUUAACGAGAAGCCAGAAAGUAAGCAGAAUAAAUGUGUGAGAUCUGCUGUGGAGAAAAAUGAAACAGAGAACAGCAUGAGGGAUGGUGGGGCUGGUGUGCUUCUCCCAGACAGCGUGGCCUCGCUGACAGGCCACAUCUGAGCCUGAUGGAGUAGAGAAUCAGAGCUGAGGGUGAGCUGGGGCUGAACAUCCUGGGUUUCUGCUGGUGACAGCGGAGGGCAUAACCCCUAAUGGCCCCAGGGCUUGGAGCUCCUGCCUCUACACUGACUUCUGCCCUGAGAAGAGGCUGGUGCCAUAGAGGGGAGUCGGAGGGGCCUUGUCCUGCUGUGAAGAAAGUUCCAGAGUCCUGGCCUGUACUCCCUGGUUGCUGGAAGAAGAUAACUCUUGGGAAGUUUAGAAAUCGUCUCCCAGACAUGUAACAAGGAGUUGCUGAGCUGGUGGUGCUGAGUCUUCUUUGCCAUGGAUUUCACCUUCAGAAGCUGUAACCUCCAUAGAUUUCAAGGGUAUGAAAGGUCCUGAGACUACACUGUUGGAACGACUGCAUCACACCACUCUGCGCUCCCAGAGGUAGACAGGAGGGAGAAGCAUCUUUCCACUUUAUCCACGUUACCCAUUGUUGUUACUGAUUUAUUUUUAAAUCCAACUUGGCUUCUCCCCUGAAAACUGUUGAGAAGUAAAGAAAACUGACCAUAGCUUCCUGAAGUCAAAGCACCUAAAACAAAGAGAAGGCCAUGGAAGUGAGUAAGGGGCUUCUCCAAGACUGCAAGGUCACCCAAGGUCCCUACCGUCCAUGCUGCUGAGAAGCUGCCAGUUUCUUCUUUGCUUGGUUGGUCUCACAACCAACCACCCACUCCCACCCACUAUACCUCAACACCCAACCUGGAGAGGUGUUGUUCUCUGGGUCCUGAAAACACUAAGGGAAGCUGGGAGUAGGGGGCACAUGCCUGUAAUCCCACCACUUGGGAGGCUGAGGCAGGAAGAUGGUGAGUUCCAGGCCUGGAUUGCAUAGAAAGACUAUGUCUCAAAACACACACACACACACACACAUGGGGACUCACUACGGCUUUGGACUGACCCACCCCCGACCUCUCUGGGAUGAUGGCGCAGGGAAGAGCACCCUCAGUCUGUGGUACACUAGCCCCUGUUCUUGGGUUGGGGCUCAGAUGAAAAGCGAAGGUCACUUUUCUAGGCCUGAAGAGGAAAUGUAAAUCUCUCCCAGCCCACGUGGCAGAAGCUGCCAGAAGGCCAUUGCCCUGUUAGUAAACAGGGCUGCCUGGGCCAUCUUUCUCUUUUGUAAUAACCUGCAGGGCACCUAUUGAUUGCACGUGCUGGUCCCUCAUAAGUGAGGACAGGGCUGUCUUCCGGUUGCUCUGGAGCUGUGAGGGUGCCUAAAUUGGCUGACUAAUACUGCAUGCUCAUGGAGCACAGUGUCCUGUGCCACCUAAACAUGAAGAAUAUGUAUCAUCAGGCGCCGUGAGAGUGCAGGCCCCAACUCCAGCGGCUUCAAGGCUUCCGGGCGUGCUGCAGACUGCAAUUAGGCAGUUUGCUUGCCUCCUCCCGAGAGGAAAGAACACUGAUGUGGCUCCUGCUGCAGCCUGAGCUACUUUAAGAUGGAGGGAGCGGCAGGUCUUGGAGGGUGGGCAAUGGGCCAGCUCCUCACCUCAGCUACCCCCUCAGCAGGAAUGGCAGCCAGCAAAUAGAAACCAACCCACAUCUUUUAGCCUGUGGUGGACAGAGUUAUGACUCAAAAGACACGUUCAAAACCCCCACUUCGGCCACUUUUGGCUGUGUGAUAUUAGUGGCUUAACCUCUCUGAGCCUCAGCAUCUCAUCUGGAAAGUUGAGAAAAUAAUAUUUCCUUAAUUGUUCAUGUGGUUAGGCCUGCCUGGAACCCAGUAUCCUCUCAUAAAUACCGGCACUGAGUCAAAAGCAGCUGAACACAGCAGUAGGUACCGGACUGAAACUACUUUUCCUUUCCACCCCUGAAAUCUGGCACCAGGAACUUUUCAGUGCUAUUGCCAGGCAAUGCCUUGCUAUCUAAGAAGUGAGGCCAGGAAACUCCUGGCUUGAUAAAUUGGAAUUAUCUCUCCCAUCCCUUUCAUCUUUCUGUGCCCCUCCUGACCUAGCUUCUGAAUUUAACAUUGAUUCCACAGGGAAUGUCACUAAAAUGUAUCGUGAACACAGAGAAGCAUGGCACCAUAGCUUACCCUUCUAAAAGAAAACCUUGGCACCCGCAGGCCCACCCUGGGCAGAGCCUUCAGAGCGUCUCUAACUCUGGCCCUGGACAAUGGGCUCUAUGAGUAGCACUGUCCUUGCAGCUCACUUGUGGCUCCUUUGUUGAUGUUGCCACAAUCAAAGCCGAUGAAAGGACGGUGUGAAGAGCCAUAUUUCCAUAUUUUCCUCCUGGUCCUGGAAAUGACAUCUACUGCCUUGGGACGGAGGGUACAGUGGGUGAAUGGUGCCCCCCAAAUAUAUGAUCACACGGGGACCCUGUGAGUGUGAUCUUCUUUGGGCAAAGGGUCUUUACAGAUGUGAUUAAAUCAGCAUCUUGAGCUGCCAUUGUUCUAAAUUACCUGGGGUGGGCAGGCGGCGUAAAUGGAGUGACAAGGGUCCCUUGAGACAGAAGAGGGACUGGCACAGAGAGAAGCUCAGGAGAAGAUGAUGGAGAUGCAGCCUGGAGUGAAGCAGCCCCAGUCAAGGCUUCCUGGGCCAUCAGGAGCGGGGGGGGGGGGGCAGAGGAAGACUGUCUGGAGAGCCUUUGGAAGGAGGGAGUGUGGCCCUGCUGACACCUGGGUUUGGGACUCUGGCUUCUACAAUUGGGAGAGGAUGAAUUUCUAUUACUUUAGGCUACUGCUGAGGCUUAGAUACGGUUUUUCUCCAAAAGCUCAUGUGCCCGAGACUUGGUCCCUGAUGUCCUGGUAUUGAGGUGUUGAUGACUUUCAGAAGGGUGAUUAGCCAGGGGCAGCACCCUCAGAAAGACCGGCUUGGUUACCCUCAUAGGGGAUUGAUAAAAACGAAUGUGGCUUUCUUUUUUGUUGUUGUUUUUUUGAGACAGGAACUCACUAUGUAGUUCAGGCUGGUCUAGACUCACUAUGUAGCCCAUGCUGGCUUCAAACUCAUGGCAAUCCUCCUGCCUCAGCCUCCUGAGUGCUGGCAUUACGGGGAUGCACCACUAUGCCUGGCUUCUUCUCUCAGCAUAUGACCUCUCCUGCCUGUGCUGCUGCCCUGUGAUGCCAUCUGCCCAGAAGCUGAGGCUACACAAUGCCACACACUUGGACCUCCAGAACUGUAAGCUAAAUAAACCUCCUUAUUUUCUUUAUGAAGGAAGGUAUCUUAUGAUACGAACAAGGUAUCUUGUUAUAGCAACACACAGUGGACUGAGAGCCACCAAGCUUGUGGUCGUCUGUGAUGGCGGCUCUACUCCAGCAUGCUCCUGGGGUGGGACACAGCUCAAGGUCAUCUUCCACGGGUGAUGUUUUCCCUGUCUGUGGCAGGACUUACCUGAACAACAGCCUCAGCUGGCCUGGCCUGCAAUCCAGGAGCCGCAGACAACCAGAUAGGAGUGUGGCUGAGGAUCUGCCUGGGACAGAGCCUUCUGAAAUGCUGGAAACAGGCUCCAUCUUAGAACUAGACAGACUGAUGUUGAAAUCCCAACACUGACUGACUCUGAGGCCUCUCUGCCUUUCAAGUCCCUCAUCAAUAAAGCGAGGAAAUAAUGUUUACCUUGUAGGCAAGAGCAGGUCCAGCAUCCAAAGCUUACAGAAUUUGGGUGACACUUUAAAAGAGAAAGAAUACAACGAUUUAAAUCCAAAGUUAGGGAAGGAGUCUUGGGAGGCCCUGUAUAAGUUCGGGCCCCUGAGGUGUAAGUCAGGCCCACUCUGUUCAUUGGUGCUCAGAGAAUCACAGGUGAAAACAGGGAGCACAAGGCAGAGCCUGGAUCCUGCUGAGAGCUCUGUAAGAGACAAAAGUUGUCAGCUGGGCGUGGUGGUGCACGCCUGUAAUUCCAGCGCUUGGGCGGCUGAGGCAGGAGGAUCACUUCAAGUGAGUUCUCUGUCUCCAAAAAAAAAAGAAAAGAAAAGAAAAAGAAAGUAUGGAGAUAUGUGUGGAACACAGAAGAAACUCUGAAGGAUACAUUCCAUAGAGACUGCAGUUGUUGCUCUCUUGUCUCUUUUCCCUUCCUUUUGGUAACAGGAAACUGACUUCUAGGACGAUGGCUGUGUGCUCAGCUAAAGCCACCUGUCCCAGCUUCUCUCACAGCUGGGUGUAGCCAUGAGACUAAAUUUUGGCCAAGGAAGUAUAAACAAAGCGUGAUGGCUGAAAUCCAGCUUCCCCAGAGUUCACAGAGGAAGCGCUCACCUCGUGCUCAGAGUGUGGCCCUAACGGAAAGAGGGUCCCUGAGGACAUUAACCGAGGGGAUGGGGGACUCACAUCCCACAUGAAUAAUGGCCUAAUGAAAAGGGGAAAUUAAGACGCGCACGCGCACGGAGAGCGCUGCGUGAAGAUGGGGCAGAGACCAGCAGCUACUUCUACAAAUCCAGGGACCUCAAAGGCUGUCGCAGAAGUCAGGAGAGGCAGCAGUGCUCAGAAGGCACCAAUCCUGGGUUGCCAGCCUCCAGACUGAGAGAAGGGCGACAGUUUCUGUCAUGUAAGCCGAUCGGGUGCGGCACUUUGUUACCGCAGCCCUAGAAAACGAAUGCAGACAGAUAACGUUCUUCUUCAACCAGCAGACGGAGACCGGUAUCGCAAAUGGCAGACAGAGUGCAAGGAGGAACCCGGGACCCCAAAAACCUCAGGGAGCUGUCACAUUACUCUUGCACUGCCUACCCCGGGGC
rnacentral:lncRNA from 1 species